rnacentral:rRNA from 1 species
GAGUUUGAUCAUGGCUCAGGACGAACGCUGGCGGCGUGCCUAACACAUGCAAGUCGAACGAAGCUUUUGAUUUCGGUUGAGAGCUUAGUGGCGGACGGGUGAGUAACGCGUGAGUAACCUGCCUUACAGAGGGGGAUAACGUCUGGAAACGGACGCUAAUACCGCAUGACAUUUCUUUAUCACAUGGUAAAGAAAUCAAAGGAGCAAUCCGCUGUAAGAUGGACUCGCGUCCGAUUAGCUAGAUGGUGAGAUAACAGCCCACCAUGGCGACGAUCGGUAGCCGGACUGAGAGGUUGAACGGCCACAUUGGGACUGAGACACGGCCCAGACUCCUACGGGAGGCAGCAGUGGGGGAUAUUGCACAAUGGAGGAAACUCUGAUGCAGCAACGCCGCGUGAAGGAUGAAGGUCUUCGGAUUGUAAACUUUUGUACUUGGGGACGAUAAUGACGGUACCCAAGCAGCAAGCUCCGGCUAACUACGUGCCAGCAGCCGCGGUAAUACGUAGGGAGCAAGCGUUGUCCGGAUUUACUGGGUGUAAAGGGUGCGUAGGCGGCUAUGCAAGUCAGUUGUGAAAACUAUGGGCUCAACCCAUAGCCUGCAAUUGAAACUGCGUGGCUUGAGUGAAGUAGAGGUAGGUGGAAUUCCCGGUGUAGCGGUGAAAUGCGUAGAGAUCGGGAGGAACACCAGUGGCGAAG